GACGAACGCUGGCGGCGUGCUUAACACAUGCAAGUCGAACGGACCCUUUGGGGUUAGUGGCGAACGGGUGAGUAACACGUGGGUGAUCUGCCCUGCACUUUGGGAUAAGCCUGGGAAACUGGGUCUAAUACCGGAUAGGACUACGCACUGCAUGGUGUGUGGUGGAAAGCUUUUGCGGUGUGGGAUGGGCCCGCGGCCUAUCAGCUUGUUGGUGGGGUGAUGGCCUACCAAGGCGACGACGGGUAGCCGGCCUGAGAGGGUGACCGGCCACACUGGGACUGAGAUACGGCCCAGACUCCUACGGGAGGCAGCAGUGGGGAAUAUUGCACAAUGGGCGCAAGCCUGAUGCGGCGACGCCGCGUGAGGGAUGACGGCCUUCGGGUUGUAAACCUCUUUCGCCAGGGACGAAGCGCAAGUGACGGUACCUGGAGAAGAAGGACCGGCCAACUACGUGCCAGCAGCCGCGGUAAUACGUAGGAUCCGAGCGUUGUCCGGAAUUACUGGGCGUAAAGAGCUCGUAGGUGGUUUGUCGCGUUGUUCGUGAAAACUCACAGCUUAACUGUGGGCGUGCGGGCGAUACGGGCAGACUGGAGUACUGCAGGGGAGACUGGAAUUCCUGGUGUAGCGGUGGAAUGCGCAGAUAUCAGGAGGAACAUCGGUGGCGAAGGCGGGUCUCUGGGCAGUAACUGACGCUGAGGAGCGAAAGCGUGGGGAGCGAACAGGAUUAGAUACCCUGGUAGUCCACGCCGUAAACGGUGGGUACUAGGUGUGGGUUUCCUUCCUUGGGAUCCGUGCCGUAGCUAACGCAUUAAGUACCCCGCCUGGGGAGUACGGCCGCAAGGCUAAAACUCAAAGGAAUUGACGGGGGCCCGCACAAGCGGCGGAGCAUGUGGAUUAAUUCGAUGCAACGCGAAGAACCUUACCUGGGUUUGACAUGCACAGGACGCCGGCAGAGAUGUCGGUUCCCUUGUGGCCUGUGUGCAGGUGGUGCAUGGCUGUCGUCAGCUCGUGUCGUGAGAUGUUGGGUUAAGUCCCGCAACGAGCGCAACCCUUGUCUCAUGUUGCCAGCACGUUAUGGUGGGGACUCGUGAGAGACUGCCGGGGUCAACUCGGAGGAAGGUGGGGAUGACGUCAAGUCAUCAUGCCCCUUAUGUCCAGGGCUUCACACAUGCUACAAUGGCCGGUACAAAGGGCUGCGAUGCCGUGAGGUGGAGCGAAUCCUUUCAAAGCCGGUCUCAGUUCGGAUCGGGGUCUGCAACUCGACCCCGUGAAGUCGGAGUCGCUAGUAAUCGCAGAUCAGCAACGCUGCGGUGAAUACGUUCCCGGGCCU
rnacentral:rRNA from 1 species